rnacentral:rRNA from 1 species
GGUGAGGUAACCUUUUGGAGCCAGCCGCCUAAGGUGGGAUAGAUGAUUGGGGUGAAGUCGUAACAAGGUAGCCGUAUCGGAAGGUGCGGCUGGAUCACCUCCUUUCUAAGGAA